rnacentral:rRNA from 1 species
AAGCUCGUAGUUGAAUUUCGGGGUUAGUAGGUUGGUCAUGCCUCUGGUAUGUACUGGUCUCACUGAUUCCUCCUUCUUAUGAACCGUAAUGCCAUUAAUUUGGGUGUUUGCGGGGGAAUUUGGACUGUUACUUUGAAAAAAUUGAGUGUUUAAAGCAAGCUAACGCUUGAAUACAUUAGCAUGAAAUAUGAAAUAGGACGUUCGAUCUUAUUUGUUGGUUUCUAGGAUUGACGUAAUGAUUAAUAGGGAUAGUUGGG